rnacentral:rRNA from 1 species
AGGAAGUAAUUUCAAAACAAACCUAUUUACUAUGGCGGCAUUCAAUCUUACUAGAGGAACUUGUUCCAUAAUCGACAACCCACGUUAAUUCUCACUUUAUUAUAAAAUUUAUAUACCGCCGUCUAAAGAAUUAAUUAUAUAACAAUAUUCUUAAUAAAAAUUAAAAAGUAAGGUCAAGGUGUAAUCCAUAUUAAAGAGAUAAUGAGUUACUUUAAAUAUAAUUUAAGGAUAAUAUAAUAAAACAAUAUUUAAAAAAGGAUUUAAUAUCAAUAUAUUAAUAAUAAUAAUAUAUGAAUAAGAUAAUAAAUGUGU